rnacentral:rRNA from 1 species
AUUGUCCUACGGGAGGCAGCAGUGGGGGAUAUUGCACAAUGGGGGAAACCCUGAUGCAGCGACGCCGCGUGGGUGAAGAAGCGCCUCGGCGCGUAAAGCUCUAUCAGCAGGGAAGAAGAUGACGGUACCUGAUUAAGAAGCCCCGGCUAACUACGUGCCAGCAGCCGCGGUAAUACGUAGGGGGCAAGCGUUAUCCGGAUUUACUGGGUGUAAAGGGAGCGCAGACGGCAGUGCAAGUCUGGAGUGAAAGCCCGGGGCCCAACCCCGGAACUGCUCUGGAAACUGUGCGGCUAGAGUACUGGAGG